UAGGGAAUAUUAGAAAUGGACGAAAGUCUGAUCUAGCAACACCGCGUGUGCGAUGAAGGCCUUCGGGUUGUAAAGCACUUUUUGGAAGGAUUAGGAGGGAAUGUACUUCCAGAAUAAGUCCCGGCUAACUACGUGCCAGCAGCCGCGGUAACACGUAGGAGGCGAACGUUAUCCGGAUUUACUGGGCGUAAAGCGCGUGUAGGUGGUUCUGUAAGUAGGGCGUGAAAGCUCCUGGCUCAACUGGGAGAGGCCGUUCUAAACUGCAGAGCUAGAGGAUGGUAGAGGGAGGUGGAAUUCCGGGUGUAGCGGUGGAAUGCGCAGAUAUCCGGAGGAACACCAGUGGCGAAGGCGGCCUCCUGGACCAUUCCUGACACUCAGACGCGAAAGCUAGGGUAGCAAACG
rnacentral:rRNA from 1 species